rnacentral:rRNA from 1 species
UUAAUUGAAGAGUUUGAUCAUGGCUCAGAUUGAACGCUGGCGGCAGGCCUAACACAUGCAAGUCGAGCGGAAACGAAGRGGUGCUUGCACCUCUGGCGUCGAGCGGCGGACGGGUGAGUAAUGCUUGGGAAUAUGCCUUAUGGUGGGGGACAACAGUUGGAAACGACUGCUAAUACCGCAUAAUGUCUACGGACCAAAGUGGGGGACCUUCGGGCCUCACGCCAUAAGAUUAGCCCAAGUGGGAUUAGCUAGUUGGUGAGGUAAUGGCUCACCAAGGCGACGAUCCCUAGCUGGUUUGAGAGGAUGAUCAGCCACACUGGGACUGAGA